rnacentral:lncRNA from 1 species
AGAAUCUAUUAAUAUGCUUUUCAAACAGAUAUUUCUGCUCACCUUGAAGCACUGGUCCUCGUCUUAGGCUGCAUGGCUGGGGACACUGGUCUUACUACACAACAAACAUAGGCUCCUCCGGAUGGUUAGAGCAAGUGUGGUUGCUGCCCACCACCAGCCUGCUCCUGGCAAGCGGACGCUCUCGGGGAUCCCGAGCUGAAGUUUUUCAGAGCAGACUGCUGGAUCCACAAGGCUCACUCGGGGCCUCUUUGGCAGAGUUAAGACACUUCCCCACAUCAGGAGGUUUUUGCACAGAAAUGAGGCAAAUAAGUCAUGCGACUAGAGGAGCUAGAAUAAAUAUUCCUGCUGACAGUAUCACAGAGCUUCGGUCAGCUCACUUAACAAUGAGCACAAGCUUUUAUUGCUUCCACAAAAGCUCGUGGUUCCUGUGUCUGGUGGCAACACAAUAAAUCGCCUCUUGAAUCGUCAAUGUCUUUCAAUUAUUUGCUUACCCACCUUUGUACUGCCUUAUCAGCCAUGUGGGAUUUUGUCAGGUUUUUCAGUUGUGUUUUGUUUAUUUUUGUCUGUUUUGGACUCUGUUUUGGACUCCGUGAAUAUGUGUGGCAGACUAGGUACAUGAAUCCACUUCCUCAGAACGUAUUUUUUCCCUUGGCAUUUUAUUUCAUAAUACAUUCUCAAAGUUAUUAUAUUUUAAUGUAUCUCACUUCUUAAUUUGGCUAGUCGAUUUAUUUGGCUGAUAUCAGCCAAAGCCAGAUAAAGGGCAGCGGGAGCUGGAGCCAGGAAACACAGCUAAGGGAGAAGUCACCUGUACUUCCAGACUCCCCUGUAGAAUUUUGUCCACACAUCUUCAUGGACUUCAUUUAUUCAUUCAUUUAACAAAUAUUUAUUGAGCACUUACCAUGUGUUGAACACUGUUCUAGGCACUGGGGCCAAACAAGGAACAAAAGAGACAAAAAUUUCUGCCCUUAUGGAGCUUAGAUUCUAACAGGGGAAACAAUUAACAAAAGUAAAAUGUAUAUGAGAUAAAUAAAUGCCAAGGGAGAAACACAGCAUAAAAUAGUCAUAGGAAGUGUGUGUACAUAAGAGCAAACUGUGAUUUUACAUAGCCAGGGACACCUCUCAGAGAAUGUCACAUUUGAAUAAAGGCCUGGUGGCGCAGUGGUUAAGUGCACAUGUUCCACUUCAGCGGCCCGGGGUUCGCCGGUUUGGAUCCCAGGUGCGGACACGGCACCACUUGGCAAGCCAUGCUGUGGUAGGCGUCCCACAUAUAAAGUAGAGAAAGAUGGGCAUGGAUGUUAGCUCAGGACCAGUCUUCCUCAGCCAAAAGAGGAGGAUUGGCAGCAGUUAGCUCAGGGCUAAUCUUCCUCAAAAAAAAGAAAAAUGAAUAAAGACCAGAAGGAAGGAAGAGAUGAGCAGAGGGAAUAUGCAGGGAAGGUGCAUUUAAGUAGAGGCAAUAGUUAGAUCAAAGGCCCUGAGGCAAGAGCCUGCUAGUGUGUUCAAGGAGUACCAAGGUGGCCACUGGAGCUGGAGGAGAAUAAACAAGGGAAAGAGACAUAGGAGAUAAGGUCAGAUGGCUAUGGGAGGACCCUAUCACCUAGGCCUCAGAAAGCUUUUGUAGAUAUUAGAAAGAUUUCAUCCUUUACAAGAUGGAAAACUACUGAAAGAUUUUGAGUGGAUGAGUUUCAUGGUCAGUCUUAACUUUGACAACAUCACUGGCUGGUUUGUUGAGAAUAAGUGAUGAGGGGCAAAUUUGACAGAAGUGAGAUUGGUUUUAGAAAGCCAUUGCAAUAAUCCAAGGGAGAAACAGUGGGGGCUUGGACCAGUAUGGCAGCAGAGGAGGUGGUGAGAAGUGACCCAUUCGGGGUCUAUUUUGCAGGUCAGGCAAACAGGUCGUGUAUGAGAGGAAAAGAGGAGUGAAGGAGAAUCCCAAGGUUUGGGGCCCGCGCACCUGGUAGAAGGUUGUUGCCAUUUCCUGCAAAGGGGAAGGCUGCAUAGGGAGUAGUUUGGGGGGGAAAGGGAUUUGGGGGAUCAUCAGCUUCUAACCCUGAGACUGGGUAAGAUCAUCAAGGUAGCGAGUGUAGAAGUGCAAGGACUGAGCUCUGGGGCACUCGAACACUCCGAGGUGGGGUGACCAACUCUUCUGGUUUGCCCAGGGCUGAGGGGUCCCAAGACACAGGACUUUCAGGAAAGUUCUGAGCAAACCGAGAUGACUGAUGAUCUGCUCAGAGGCCGGCGAGAUGAAUGAAAAGCCCACGAAAAGGAAUAGCAGGGCCAUAGGAGACAGGUUGCCGUGGGAGCCUCGGGACGAAUUUCAAGAAGACAGCUCUCAACUCCGGCAAACACUGCUGAUGGGCAAGUAAGAGGAGUACUGAGAAUCGACCACUGGAUUUAGCAACAGAGAGGCCAGAGGGGACCUUGACAAGAGCAGUUUUAUUGGAAGGUGCGAGGGACAGAAAGCCUGAUUUUAGUGAUUCAAGUGUGUCUUAGUCUGCUCGGGCUGCUAAAACAAAAGACCAUAGUCUGCGUGACUUAAACAACAGAAACUUACUUCUCACAAUUCUGGAGGCUGAGAAAUCCAAGAUCAAGGUGCCAACAGAUUCGGUUCCUGG